CCUCGACCCCUCGUCGCUCCCCUACAAUCGAAAUCGUUCCUCGAUCGAGAGAGCCGCGGCGGCGCGGGAGGUGCUAGACUGCUGGAGCACGGGGAAGGGGACGGAAGGAGGCACAGCAGCUGCAGAUGCCGGUGACGGGCAGCCAAAACAGGCUGCCGAGGCCGGCCAAGACCCAGACCAUCCACGGCCUCGUGCGCGCCGGCGACCUCACGGGCGUCCAGCGGAAGCUGCGGGAGAACCCCGCCCUCCUCAACGACAAGAACCCUGUGGUCCGUGCUUCUUGCGCUCCCCCAAUCCUCUCGUCCCGCAGGAGGAUUUCUUUAGCUUGGGCGAAUACAGAAUGCGCGCAGGAUCGAAUACAGAGGAAUGAACGAAGUGUCAAGCUAAGAGAAGAUGAACCUGGAGCUUCAGAAGGUGAGGGACAAGUUCAAGAUGUCCGAGAAUGCCUGGUUCUGCUUUAGUUCAAAGUAAAUAUCCUCCCUUCACUUGCAUAAUACUUUACAGAAUUAGAACACACCGACUUUGCUAAUAUCGAGUUUUCAUGCUGUCACUAUUCUAACAACCACAUUCCAAGGUGUGCUUCUUCAAUUGCUCGUCCACACGAAGUGUCAAAAAACCAGAACGGAUCAGGGCUGGUCUCAUUCUUCUGCAGAUUUCUUCGACAUACAUAGAUGAUGAUAGUUUUUACUCCCAUUGCAAUGAUUUCAGUUCCAGUUUCCGGCCAUAGUUUGUGCUUCUUUGGAAACCUUGUCUGAUGGUCUCAGGUCUCUAUCUUGUUCAAGACUCCCUAUCAGCAAUGCAAUUAUAUUUCCCGAGUAGAUCCUGCCAAUGCUUUGUUUGCUACCAGAUGACACAUACAGUGUUAGAGUUUGCUGAAUGUUCCCUUGUUGACUGAAUGCACAUGGCAAACAUGCCCUUUUCUUCUCCAAACUGGCGCUGAUUCACUAUGCGCCGUUGUUAUCCAAGCACUUCAUAGUUUAUGUGUUGCUUUCAUAUGCAACUAGGCUACCCAUUUAGAAGACUUUGGUUGUGCCAAGAAAAGAUGGAACAAGGGAAUUGGUUUCUCACAUACUCAAUUGGUUUAGGAGUGUGGUCGCUUAGAUGCAGUAUGUAAAAAUUCAGUUCACCCCUUAGAUGUUCAAACAGGCUAGCACAUACCAAUGUAAUGUUGCGCAAGACAGCUCAGGAGCUUCUCGCUGAAGGUUUAGGAGUAAAUGUCACGAUAUUUUCAUGAUAGCGCAGGAGCUUGCAGUGGAGUGCCACGAAAAGGAGACUAAUUGCAGCCACAUCUCAACUAUAGUGGUGAAAACUAUAGAGCAAUGUACUUAUGUAAAAAUCUGUAGUGUGGACCCUAAAAAAAGUAGAAUAUUAUUGUUUCUGUAAUACCAUGUGAUUAUUUUUUAUACAUGUAGAUUUUCACAUACAUUUUUCUAAUAUAUUACGAGAGAAAAUAAAAUCGAGCCGUAGCAGAGCACGGGUAUUCGAUGAUAUAUUUGUUGCAGGGAACUAUCAGAUUACUGUCAUCUCCCUUUUCUAAGUCCUGCUUGUUGAUUUGCUGAACCUCAGCAACAAUGGUAGCGACCUGGUUGUUGUGGAGGAAGACAAAAAGAGGUGCCUCAUGCCAUCCUGGUCAUGAGAUGGGCUUUGGGAAGUUGGACAAUGAUGAAAGUCGGUUAGCACCAGCGACAGAAGGCUGCUGAGGACGCUAGAGUCAGUUGUGAGUGGUGACUUGGAGGGUCAGAGAGAGAAAUGGGAUUAGCGCAGAACCGUCUGGUGCCACAAUACCCGUCAGUUCAAAUUUCUUUAUUGCAUUCGUCUGAAACUUUCUGAGACAAAUCAAUUACAAGAUAACAAGAAUCCGUUGUCAGUUGCUAUAAAGACAAGAGCAACAAAGCCAAGUCCAGGAUAAGCCUGUACUCUGAAGGUCUUGCUUCCCAAGCCAGGGAAGCAAUUGAUUCAUGCAUUAAUUUGACUAUGCAAUGAACAGAAAUAAAGCAGUCGAAUGGUAGCCAAGGUAGAUGAGAACAAUGAGACACACAUCGCCGUGUGUUGAUGGGUCAGUCAGAGGCCAUCCUAGCUAGGUCCUCCCAGUUUUAUGGUUCUACCCAUCAGUAAUGACUACAACAUUCUUGUCGACAACAUGCAUAAUCCACAGUGGUACAUUUUUUGGAGCACUGACAGGAACACAAGAACCCUAUCAGAGUACUUCGUCAACAUCAAGUUCCCCCAGUGUGCAACAGAUGCAAGGUAGCACCCUAUCCGAAACUCUGAAUGUAUAUUGCAGUUCUUAUGGACGGUUCUUCAGUCUCAUGUGGCUCGGAAACAUGGGCUUCAUGAUUAUUGGGAGAUUUCUGACUCUUCUAGCCGAGAUUUAGUGGUUUGUUCCAUACCCGAGUUGCAUACAUUGUAGAGGACUUUCAAUUGAUUCAAGGUAAAUUGAUGUUCUUUGCCUGAUCAUUACAGUUACUGCAUUUGAUUAAUGAAAUUACGAGGACAGCGAUACAUUUAGCAUCUUUCUCUCUGUGUUACUACCUAGACUUUCAGAUUGUCAAAGGAACUUAUUAGUUAAGCAAGAAAGUAAAGUACAUUAACAAUAAUUUUCCAACUUUAACAGACGUGAAGUUCUAGGAACUUUGGUUGGACUUAUAUUGCAAGUUGUCCCCUCUAUCACUGGUACUUCCACGUUCAUGGAUAGGUACUAGGUACUUCCCAUUUGAAAUCAUUUUUACUUGGCCGCAUAUGAACCAAACAAUCCUCCUGUGUAUAUCAUUUGCAUGUAUAGCCAGAUCUCAGAGAUGCUUGAGUACGACUCACAACGCGUGCUCAACCCGGAAAAUCUUCCUAGCCUGCUCAGUUCUAUAGAAAAUCUUCCUAGCCGUUCUAACUGUCAUGUGAGAUAAUAUAGGAGCGGCUCGAGCUUGCUGGCAACAAGGUUGACAGACUAGGAUGUGAGAUAAUAUAGAUUUUCAACUGUUUUCUAUAAUCAAUUUUAACUCCUAGAGAUAACAUAGCAUGGGCUAUGCUAUAAUUGAGCACGCGGCAUGUGCGACGACACAAAAAGUUAAGGGCC